AAUAAACGCUGGCGGCGUGCCUAACACAUGCAAGUCGAGCGAGAAAGUUCCUUCGGGAGCAAAUAAAGCGGCGGACGGGUGAGUAACGCGUGAGAAUUUACCCUUUAGUGAGGAAUACCUCUGAGAAAUCAGGGCUAAUACUGCAUAAGUCCCUACGGGGAGAAAGGUGGCCUAUUUGCUGCCGCUAAAGGAUAAGCUUGCGGGCUAUUAGCUAGUUGGUGAGGUAAAGGCUCACCAAGGCGAUGAUGGCUAGCCGGCCUGAGAGGGUGUACGGCCACACUGGAACUUAGACACGGUCCAGACUCCUACGGGAGGCAGCAGUGAGGAAUAUUGCGCAAUGGGCGAAAGCCUGACGCAGCGACGCCGCGUGGAGGAUGAAGGUCUUCGGGAUUGUAAACUUCUGUUAAGUGGGAAGGAAGAUUUAUCCCUAAUAUGGAUAAAGGAUAGACGGUACCAUUAGAGAAAGCACCGGCUAACUUCGUGCCAGCAGCCGCGGUAA
rnacentral:rRNA from 1 species